AUUGAACGCUGGCGGCAGGCCUAACACAUGCAAGUCGAGCGGAUGAAGGGAGCUUGCUCCUGGAUUCAGCGGCGGACGGGUGAGUAAUGCCUAGGAAUCUGCCUGGUAGUGGGGGAUAACGUCCGGAAACGGGCGCUAAUACCGCAUACGUCCUGAGGGAGAAAGUGGGGGAUCUUCGGACCUCACGCUAUCAGAUGAGCCUAGGUCGGAUUAGCUAGUUGGUGGGGUAAAGGCCUACCAAGGCGACGAUCCGUAACUGGUCUGAGAGGAUGAUCAGUCACACUGGAACUGAGACACGGUCCAGACUCCUACGGGAGGCAGCAGUGGGGAAUAUUGGACAAUGGGCGAAAGCCUGAUCCAGCCAUGCCGCGUGUGUGAAGAAGGUCUUCGGAUUGUAAAGCACUUUAAGUUGGGAGGAAGGGCAGUAAGUUAAUACCUUGCUGUUUUGACGGUACCAACAGAAUAGGCACCGGCUAACUUCGUG
rnacentral:rRNA from 1 species